rnacentral:tRNA from 1 species
GCCCUGGUAGCCCAACCUGGUAGGAGGCAGCGCGCUCAAACCGCGCACAGUGCGGGUUCGAAUCCCGCUCGGGGCACCA